rnacentral:lncRNA from 1 species
GGAGGCCACCCUUGAAACCUCCAUAACUUUCUUAAAUUAACUCCAAUUCUCAUGCUUUUGUACACUUUUUCAUAGGAUUCUUUAUGCUCUUUCACUUUUUCACCACAAAGAUCCUCAAAAGUCUUUCUUCUACACUUUUUCUCACUAGUUGAACAUUUUAGAGAGAGAGACUCUUCAAUUUAGCUUGAGAAAACCCUUAAAAGAAUUUCCCCUCUUCAAUCCUUACUAAAGGAUUCAACUGCAAGUUCACUAAGGUGAGUAAUGAGUUAGGUUUGAUUUUUAAGUUGUUGAUGAAUGGCUAAUAAUUAGAAUUGUGGGUUGUCUUAUUGUUGAAGGUUGUUUAUUUAUUUCUAGUGUGACUAAAGUAGUGCAAACUAAUGACAAGUCAAAUGGUAAAUGGGAAACUAGUUUGGAAUAACUAGCAAAGUUUGAUUUAGAAAAUAGCUUUUGGAAUAAUGUUCAUGUCAAUUGAUUUGUUUGUGAUGCUAUUGUGUGUGAUAGGUUCCAACGAGACCCCACAUCUCCACUUGGAGCAUUAGUGGAAGUUGGAGUUGAUUAAAGAAUCAACAAAGACAAGUGAGUGAACUUGCAUUAAAAUAUUUUGGGAUAAAUGCAUAAGUGUUUGAUUGAAUCACCUGAAAUAUUUUAUUGGUCUUUUCUUUAAAAUAUGCAUGGGAACAAGUUUUUGAUGAAACAUUUUUAUGUUGUGAAAUGUGGAAUGUGAUGAAUUCAUGUGUUCCUAUAUUAUGAUGAUAUGUAUGUUAUGCCUUAGAUGAUAAUGUUGUGUGUUAAUUACAACCGAGCUUGUGCGGUGUGGGAGUGCACAUGUCGGUGAUGAUGUGGUGUGGGAGUGUACAUGAUGAUAUUGGCCAUGUGCAGUGUGGGAAUGCACAUGACAGUAUUAGCUAUGUGCAGUGUGGGAGUGCACAUGAUGACCUAGCUAUGUGUAGCUAUGUGCGGUGUGGGAGUGCACAUGAGCUGGUGAGCCGGUAGUUGUAUACAUGUUUACACAUACCAUAAAAAGGUUAGGAAAAAUAUUAUGUGAAUGCAUUGAAUGUUGAAUGUUGAAAUUGUUAAAUGCUUCCAAAUUUAUUUUCAUUGUAGCAAGAAUGGAUUUUCGUUGUAACAAGAAUUCUUCUAAUUUAAUAGCCCUAGUUUUUGCUGCAGUGAGAAACUCUUGGGUGCUUGGGGGCUUGACCUAGCCUUGGUUUUCGCUACAGCAAGAAACUUUCAGGUAGUUCCUACCCAGAAUUUCGAUGCAGGAAAAUUGUAUUCUCACUGCGGCGAGAAACUCUCUACCUUACUUGAAUAUUUGCUAUAGUUUCCACUCUUUAACUUCAUUGUUGGUUAUGGACCUUUCAACACUAAGGGAUUAAGUAAUCAAGGGUUGAAUUAAGGGGUUUUAACAAGAAAUUAAGGUAAAGUAUAUUGUUUUUAACAUAAGUGCAUCAUGCUUUCUAAAACUUUCCUUAUCGUUUGCUUGUUCCAUUCUUAUGUUCACGCACUGGGUUUAUACUCACUUUUUUCAACUUCAUGUUUUCGGAUUCAGAGGCAGUUGGGAUCUAGAUUGAGGUGUUCAUGUAUAUUCGUCUUUUUGGUAGGUACCAUGGCAUUCAGUAGCUGUACCUUCACUCAAGGUCACUCCGAUGGUAAUCAAGAGUCUUUUGCUUGUGUAUACACACAUGUGAUGUAAAUCACUAAGAUUCAUGUUAUGAACAACAAAUGUAUAUUUUGAUGGAUGAUGCCACUAUGAGUUGGCAAUGGGUGACAAUAUUUUGGGUUAAUA